rnacentral:rRNA from 1 species
CCUACGGUAGGCAGCAGUAGGGAAUCUUCCGCAAUGGAGGAAACCCUGACGGAGCAACGCCGCGUGAGUGAUGAAGGUUUUCGGAUUGUAAACUCCUGUUGUUAGAGAAGAUAAAGACGGUAUGUAACGGAUCGUCACCGGCUAACUCCGUACCAGCAGCCGAGGUAAUACGACGGGGGCAAGCGUGACUCGGAAUGACUGUGCGUAAAGGGCGCGGAGGCGGUAUGGCAAGUCAGAUGUGAAAGCCCAUGGCUUAACCAUAGAAGGUCAUUGGAAACUGUGAUUCUAGAGUACGGUAGAGGUAGGUGGAAUUCUUUGUGUAGCGGUAAAAUGCGUAGAGAUAAAGAGGAACACUCAUGGCGAAGGCGACCCUCUAGAAUAUAACUGACGCUGAUGCGCGAAAGCGUGGGGAGCAAACAGGAUUAGAUACCCGGGUAGUC